UACAGAGGGUGCGAGCGUUGUCCGGAAUCACUGGGCGUAAAGGGCGCGUAGGCGGCUUGAUAAGGUUGCGGUGAAAAGCCCGGGGCUCAACCCCGGGUCGGCCGUGGCAACUGUCGAGCUGGAGCACUGUAGAGGCAGGUGGAAUUCCGGGUGUAGCGGUGGAAUGCGUAGAGAUCCGGAAGAACACCGGUGGCGAAGGCGGCCUGCUGGGCAGUGGCUG
rnacentral:rRNA from 1 species